AAGAUGACGAGUGGCGGACGGGUGAGUAAUGCUUGGGAAUUUGCCUUUAGGUGGGGGACAACAGUUGGAAACGACUGCUAAUACCGCAUAAUAGCUACGGCUUAAAGGGGGCUUCGGCUCUCGCCUUUAGAGAAGCCCAAGUGGGAUUAGAUAGUUGGUGUGGUAAUGGCGCACCAAGUCAACGAUCCCUAGCUGGUCUGAGAGGAUGAUCAGCCACACUGGAACUGAGACACGGUCCAGACUCCUACGGGAGGCAGCAGUGGGGAAUAUUGCACAAUGGGCGCAAGCCUGAUGCAGCCAUGCCGCGUGUGUGAAGAAGGCCUUCGGGUUGUAAAGCACUUUCAGCGAGGAGGAAAGUUUGGUGGUUAAUACCCAUCAGAUGUGACGUUACUCGCAGAAGAAGGACCGGCUAACUCCGUGCCAGCAGCCGCGGUAAUACGGAGGGUCCGAGCGUUAAUCGGAAUUACUGGGCGUAAAGCGUACGCAGGCGGCCAUUUAAGUCAGAUGUGAAAGCCCCGGGCUCAACCUGGGAACUGCAUUUGAAACUGGAUGGCUAGAGUGCGACAGAGGGUGGUAGAAUUUCAGGUGUAGCGGUGAAAUGCGUAGAGAUCUGAAGGAAUACCAAUGGCGAAGGCAGCCACCUGGGUCGACACUGACGCUCAUGUACGAAAGCGUGGGUAGCAAACAGGAUUAGAUACCCUGGUAGUCCACGCCGUAAACGAUUCUACUAGCAGCUUGGCGCUUAAGCGCUGUUUUGCGAAGCUAACGCGA
rnacentral:rRNA from 1 species